AUGCACGCUGGCGGCGUGCCUCAUACAUGCAAGUCGAGCGCACAGACGAGGAGCUUGCUCCUCUGACGUUAGCGGCGGACGGGUGAGUAACACGUGGAUAACCUACCUAUAAGACUGGGAUAACUUCGGGAAACCGGAGCUAAUACCGGAUAAUAUAUUGAACCGCAUGGUUCAAUAGUGAAAGACGGUUUUGCUGUCACUUAUAGAUGGAUCCGCGCCGCAUUAGCUAGUUGGUAGGGUAACGGCUUACCAAGGCAACGAUGCGUAGCCGACCUGAGAGGGUGAUCGGCCACACUGGAACUGAGACACGGUCCAGACUCCUACGGGAGGCAGCAGUAGGGAAUCUUCCGCAAUGGGCGAAAGCCUGACGGAGCAACGCCGCGUGAGUGAUGAAGGUCUUCGGAUCGUAAAACUCUGUUAUUAGGGAAGAACAAAUGUGUAAGUAACUAUGCACGUCUUGACGGUACCUAAUCAGAAAGCCACGGCUAACUACGUG
rnacentral:rRNA from 1 species